rnacentral:rRNA from 1 species
AUGCUACCUGGGUCAGUGGUCCCUUGGAUCGCCGUUCACUUUCUACUUAUUAUGUCUUUUUUGGUGGUUUUCUCAUUGCCUGGAAGACAAAGAAACAGACUAAUCAAACUUUACCAUAUCCGGCUGCUACAUUCUGGUGGUGGUGUAAGUUUAGACUCUUCCUCUGAUAGCCUCACCAACUUGCUUCACAUAUCCUUCUAUUCAAGACCGAAUAUAUUGAACAUUGGAAGACUAACGUCACUCCAAAAGAUACCAUCAUUCAGAGUACGGAAGGAACCAGGGUAUGAGGUAAAGCAACUGAGGGACCUAAAUGAGCUUCGCAGCAGCUUGUGUAUCAAUGGUCUUGAAAAUGUUGAGAGCAACAAGCAGGCUGUUGAAGCCAAUCUAUCAGCCAAAGAACAACUCGCGGAACUCACACUGAACUGGGAUGGUGACAGCUGUUGUCCAGAAGAUGAAUCAGAGGUACUUGAGAGCCUUUGUCCUCCCAUAUAUGGCUUGAAACACUAUGUCUCUCGUACAACAAAAGUUCGAGGUACCCAAAUUGAAUGA